GAUGAACGCUAGCGGCAGGCCUAAUACAUGCAAGUCGAACGGUGUCUUCGGACAUAGUGGCGCACGGGUGCGUAACACGUAUGCAACCUACCUUACAUUGGGGGAUAGCCUUUCGAGAGGGGGAUUAAUACCGCAUAAGACAGUAGCUGGGCAUCCAGCAGCUGUUAAAGAUUUAUCGAUGUAAGCUGGGCAUGCGUCCAAUUAGCUAGUUGGUGAGGUAACGGCUCACCAAGGCAAUGAUUGGUAGGGGAACUGAGAGGUCAAUCCCCCACACUGGCACUGAGAUACGGGCCAGACUCCUAUGGGAGGCAGCAGUAGGGAAUAUUGGGCAAUGGACGCAAGUCUGACCCAGCCAUGCCGCGUGCAGGAUGAAGGCGUUAUGCGUUGUAAACUGCUUUUAUACAGGAAGAAACGACUCUUGCGAGAGGCAUUGACGGUGCUGUAUGAAUAAGCACCGGCUAACUCCGUGCCAGCCGCCGCAGUAACAC
rnacentral:rRNA from 1 species